rnacentral:tRNA from 1 species
UAUUAGGGUGUCCGAAUAUUAAGGUAAUAAACUGUAAAUUUAUUUAUGAAUAUUUUUUAUUCUCCUAAUAA